rnacentral:misc_RNA from 1 species
UUUCCGUAGGUGAACCUGCGGAAGGAUCAUUCAUAAUAAGUGUUUUAUGGCACUUUUUAAAUCCAUAUCCACCUUGUGUGCAAUGUCAUGGUUGAUAUUUCUCUCGAGAGGAUCAGCCCCAAACAUCAACUAUAUCUCAACUCUUUGUCUGAAAAAUAUUAUGAAUAAAACAAUUCAAAAUACAACUUUCAACAACGGAUCUCUUGGCUCUC